rnacentral:rRNA from 1 species
AUCAUUAAGUUGGGCACUCUAGAGAGACUGCCAGGGAUAACCUGGAGGAAGGUGGGGAUGACGUCAAAUCAUCAUGCCCCUUAUGCUUAGGGCUACACACGUGCUACAAUGGGUAGUACAGAGGGUUGCAAAGCCGUAAGGUGGAGCUAAUCCCUUAAAGCUACUCUCAGUUCGGAUUGUAGGCUGAAACUCGCCUACAUGAAGCUGGAGUUACUAGUAAUCG